GUGUAACAGGAUGAUGGAGGGAAUAGAAGAGAGAGGAGUGUAACAGGAUGAUGGAGGGACUAGAAGAGUGUAACAGGAUGAUGGAGGGAAGAGAAGAGUGUAAGAGGAGUGUAACAGGAUGAUGGAGGGAAUAGAAGAGUGUGAAGAGGAGUGUAACAGGAUGAUGGAGGGAAUAGAAGAGUGUAAGAGGAGUGUAACAGGAUGAUGGAGGGAAUAGAAGAGUGUGAGAGAGGUGUAACAGGAUGAUGGAGGGAAUAGAAGAGUGUAAGAGGAGUGUAACAGGAUGAUGGAGGGAAUAGAAGAGAGAGGAGUGUAACAGGAUGAUGGAGGGAAUAGAAGAGUGUAAGAGGAGUGUAACAGGAUGAUGGAGGGAAUAGAAGAGAGAGGAGUGUAACAGGAUGAUGGAGGGAAUAGAAGAGUGUAAGAGGAGUGUAACAGGAUGAUGGAGGGAAUAGAAGAGAGAGGAGUGUAACAGGAUGAUGGAGGGAAUAGAAGAGAGAGGAGUGUAACAGGAUGAUGGAGGGAAUAGAAGAGAGAGGAGUGUAACAGGAUGAUGGAGGGAAUAGAAGAGAGAGGAGUGUAACAGGAUGAUGGAGGGAAUAGAAGAGAGAGGAGUGUAACAGGAUGAUGGAGGGAAUAGAAGAGUGUAAGAGGAGUGUAACAGGAUGAUGGAGGA